GCAUACCUCCAUGCUUCAUGAUUUCUCAUCUCCUUCCCAUCUCUCUCGCCCAGUACAUGUGUCACUUCUUCUCCUUGUGUGCGUAAGUCUAUCAGAGAACCCGAUACGAGUCGCAGCAACCAUCCUACCUCAAGCGUUGUCCACAUGAGCAAAGACGAGAAGGAGAGAAGACGUACGAACCGGAGCCACCAUCUCAUCAUCACCAACCACCACUGAGUUGUGCCCCUGUGAACCUAAAUACACCAGACGUGUGACCUAUAGCACCAGAGAUACUUUUGUGCAGCAGAGAUUUCAUCAUGUCUUAAGCUGAGGAGAAGAGAUGGAUACAUCAGACCCAUGGCUGAGGAGUGGUUUUGCGAGAGGCUUCUAGUAUGAUCCAGGGGGUUCUAGGAAACGAGUCAUGGCUCUUUGGAUAGAUCUCGUUUCCAGGAGUCUGUAGAAACAAACGGAAUCAAGAUCGGAGUUGUACAGUAAAAGUUAUUGACAUGCUUCUUGGACAAGAAUAAGCUUAAGCUGUUGGAAUGCUGAAACAGUUCCGACCAGUGUCAGAGUAAAGGCGAAACGGUCAACCUUAACAAAAGCUUUCAGUCUGGAAAUUUUACAUCUACGUUUGACCCGUCUGGAGACGAAGCUAUUUUGAUUAAUCAAAUGGUGUCCGAUCGGAGUAAACCCUUUGGCUACGGAUAUGUGACAUCUAUGGGUACAUUAUGACCGGAGGGAUUGAAAAGUUAACGAGACUUUCGGAGUUGCUGUGAUAGAGCCAUCAAGGUCUAUUCUGUGUUUCUCAGGUUUUCAUUAGAACCCGUGGCAAAGUGACACCGUCUGCAAAAAAAGUUCUGUCCCCAAUGGUAAAUGGACCCCUGCAUAUGAAUUGAAUGUUGUGGUGGGCAUGUAUCACCGUGGUCAUGUAUCACCAUCUGGCUCAAGCAUCGAAGGCGGUAGCUGAAACGUGACAAGCAGCGGAGUUUGUGUGCUAAGAUUAAAGACACCCCUUAGAUAACCCUUCCGAGAGUCAAUUUGUUUAUUGGCCCGGACAACGAUGUAAUGAGACAAUACAAUAUGAUAUUCGUUGAAUCUCCACACCCCUGCAGUGAUUUGCACCAUUGGCCCUUGAAUACAAGAACUAAACGACCCAUCUGCAGAUUGAAAAAUACAAAAAAAAAAAAUUCAACUAUAUUAUUCCAACAAAUAUCAGCUCUUGUAAUGGAAACCUCGAAACAUAUGAAGCUCAUAAAAGAGAAAGGCUUUCUUUAUCAAGAAUGUGGUCCCAAAAAAAAAAGAAAAUAGAAACCCGUCUAAAAUUCAACCAAUACUUGUCUUUUUCGAUACUUCAGGUAGGUUCUCAUUGUUUAUCUUUUAUCCAAUAUAUAUAGGUAAGAUUAGUGUUGUAGAUGAAAAAAAGAAGAAUUAUCUAUAUAUCGUAAAAUACUCUCACUGGCAACCGGUCAUACAUAAUCUAUCCUCUCAUUAAAUGCUCUCAGCUUACCUAGGGCUAGAACAUCAUCAUUACGCACAUUCUGACAUGACAAAACAACUUUCUUCAUUUUUUAAAAAAUUAAAUAGAUCAUUAUCUU